AUUUAGUGGGCAUGUUAUUUAAAUUGUAUGGUUAGGUCACAUUAGAUGAAAAAGGUACCAUGUUUCGCUUCCAGGUUUCCGGCGCAUCUAGGAGGAAUCACAGGUAGGUAAUUUGUUGGUAAGUAUUGGUCUCAUUUGUUUUUUAGGUGUUGUCGUGACUUGGCCUUUGGGUUGCCAGCCAGCUCAUGCCGGCCACAGGUGAAGAGUAGGCGUUGGUGUGAGGUAUGGGCAGGUUGGAGUGAAAGCCCAGUAAGGAGUUGACUUUUCCAGAGCGACCUCGACAGUUCAUGUAAGCUUGUUGGGGCCAGGUGGGACGUCUCAUUGGCACAUUUUGCUGUGUUGUGGCAGUUUGUGUUGUUCAGGUUUUGUGCAUCAGGAUUGGAGAUGUCGGAUCCGAAGGCGCCGACCAGAAGGACUCCGCUGGUGUGAAUUUGAUGAGAAAUUCGACAGCGUCAGUCCUGGAUUGCUCCUGUUUGGAUCCCGCAUCAAUGUCAUCAGCUGACCGAUGACCAAAUUUAGCUGCUGCAUCAUGGCCAUGAGGUCUCGAUAUAUUGGCUGCAUUUGACCAGGAGUAUCUCCUUCUUGUGGCAGUCGUUGUUUUAGGGGAGUGUUUUGUUUUUGUGUUGUGUAGUGGUGUUUAUUGUU